rnacentral:rRNA from 1 species
ACGGGUGAGUAACGCGUGGGAAUCUACCGUGCCCUGCGGAAUAGCUCCGGGAAACUGGAAUUAAUACCGCAUACGCCCUACGGGGGAAAGAUUUAUCGGGGUAUGAUGAGCCCGCGUUGGAUUAGCUAGUUGGUGGGGUAAAGGCCUACCAAGGCGACGAUCCAUAGCUGGUCUGAGAGGAUGAUCAGCCACAUUGGGACUGAGACACGGCCCAAACUCCUACGGGAGGCAGCAGUGGGGAAUAUUGGACAAUGGGCGCAAGCCUGAUCCAGCCAUGCCGCGUGAGUGAUGAAGGCCUUAGGGUUGUAAAGCUCUUUCACCGGAGAAGAUAAUGACGGUAUCCGGAGAAGAAGCCCCGGCUAACUUCGUGCCAGCAGCCGCGGUAAUACGAAGGGGGCUAGCGUUGUUCGGAAUUACUGGGCGUAAAGCGCACGUAGGCGGAUAUUUAAGUCAGUGGUGAAAUCCCAGAGCUCAACUCUGGAACUGCCUUUGAUACUGGGUAUCUUGAGUAUGGAAGAGGUAAGUGGAAUUCCGAGUGUAGAGGUGAAAUUCGUAGA